UACAGAGGUCUCAAGCGUUGUUCGGAUUCAUUGGGCGUAAAGGGUGCGUAGGCGGCGCGGUAAGUCGGGUGUGAAAUCUCCAGGCUCAACUUGGAGAUGCCACCCGAUACUGCUCUGACUUGAGUUCGGUAGGGGAGUGGGGAAUUCCUGGUGUAGCGGUGAAAUGCGCAGAUAUCAGGAGGAACACCGGUGGCGAAGGCGCCACUCUGGGCCGAAACUGACGCUGAGGAGCGAAAGCGUGGGUAGCAAACAGG
rnacentral:rRNA from 1 species